UGCAUAUCCAAUAGCGGAGGAAAAGAAACCAACAGGGAUUGCCCCAGUAACGGCGAGUGAAGCGGCAACAGCUCAAAUUUGAAAUCUGGUCCCCUCUGGGGGCCCGAGUUGUAAUUUGAAGAGGAUGCUUUUGGCGAGGCGCCGUCCGAGUUCCCUGGAACGGGACGCCGCAGAGGGUGAGAGCCCCGUACGGUCGGACGCCGAGCCUCUGUAAAGCUCCUUCGACGAGUCGAGUAGUUUGGGAAUGCUGCUCAAAAUGGGAGGUAAACCCCUUCUAAAGCUAAAUACUGGCCAGAGACCGAUAGCGCACAAGUAGAGUGAUCGAAAGAUGAAAAGCACUUUGAAAAGAGAGUUAAAAAGCACGUGAAAUUGUUAAAAGGGAAGCGCUUGCGACCAGACUUGCGCCCGUCGGAUCAACCGUCGCUUGCGGCGGCGCACUCCGGCGGGCUCAGGCCAGCAUCAGUUCGCUCGGGGGGAGAAAGGCGGCGGGAAUGUGGCUCUUCGGAGUGUUAUAGCCCGCCGUGUAAUACCCUCGGGCGGACUGAGGACCGCGCGUAUGCAAGGAUGCUGCGUAAGACGAAAGUAGCGUAAUGGUCGUCAGCGACCCGUCUUG
rnacentral:rRNA from 1 species